AUGGGAGUUCUGGCGCACUGUGUUAUUCUUUUUAUAUUCCAGCAUUUGACGUCAUCUUAUGAUUUUAAAGAAGGACAAUAUAACAGCGGUCAGUAUGAAUUUGUGAAAGAUCCCAGUUUGAAUAUCGAAAAGAGAUCACCAGAUUUAGAUCCGUUUGAUUCUGAAUCAUCCGACCACAUUAGGAGCAGAAGAAGUGCGGAUCAAGGAGACUGUGACCGUCUCCAGGGAUUCGACACCAAGUUGACUAACAACACCCAAACCAAUGAACUCUGGCUGUCUGAGGACUUUGGGGAGAAGUGGAGGAAGAUCCACGACAUGGUGUGUCUGGCCAAAUGGUAAGAGACAACUUUUUUUUAGGUAAAUAUGUUAAGAAUAGAGUUAGCAGAAGAACCCAUCCUUACAUGGCUGCCACAGGGUUAUAUAUAUAUAUAUAUAUAUAUAUAUAUAUAUAUAUAU
rnacentral:lncRNA from 13 species